UACGUAGGGUGCAAGCGUUGUCCGGAAUUAUUGGGCGUAAAGAGCUUGUAGGCGGUUUGUCGCGUCUGCUGUGAAAUUUCGGGGCUCAACCCCGAACUUGCAGUGGGUACGGGCAGACUAGAGUGUGGUAGGGGAGACUGGAAUUCCUGGUGUAGCGGUGGAAUGCGCAGAUAUCGGGAGGAACACCGGUGGCGAAGGCGGCGACCUGGGUAGAUACUGACGCUGAGGUGCGAAAGCGUGGGGAGCAAACAGG
rnacentral:rRNA from 1 species